rnacentral:rRNA from 1 species
CCCUUAGAUGUUCUGGGCCGCACGCGUGCUACACUGAGUGGAUCAGCGGGUCAGGUUGCGCGAAAGCGUUUCCUAAUCUUUAAAUCCACUCGUGAUGGGGAUUGACGGUUGCAAUUUUCUGUCAUGAACGAGGAAUACCUUGUAAGCGUGGGUCAUCAUCCCGCGCUGAAUACGUCCCUGCCCUUUGUACACACCGCCCGUCGCUCCUACCGAUUGAGUGGUCCGGUGAGGCUUUGGGAUCUGAGCGGAAAGAGCGUUUCGCUGUUUCUGCUCGGAAAACUCAGUCGAACCUUAUCAUUUAGAGGAAGGAGAAGUCGUAACA